rnacentral:rRNA from 1 species
GACGUAGGGCGCGAGCGUUGUCCGGAAUUAUUGGGCGUAAAGGGCGCGUAGGCGGCCUGGCAAGUGGAAGGUGAAAUCCCUCGGCUUAACCGAGGAACUGCCCUCCAAACUGCUUGGCUUGAGACCGGGAGAGGUGAGUGGAAUUCCCAGUGUAGCGGUGAAAUGCGUAGAUAUUGGGAGGAACACCAGUGGCGAAGGCGGCUCACUGGACCGGUACUGACGCUGAGGCGCGAAAGCGUGGGGAGCAAACGGGG